UACGUAGGGUCCGAGCGUUGUCCGGAAUUAUUGGGCGUAAAGGGCUCGUAGGCGGUUCGUCACGUCGGGAGUGAAAACUCGGAGCUUAACUCCGAGCCUGCAUUCGAUACUGGCGUGCUUGAGGACUGGAGAGGAGACUGGAAUUCAUGGUGUAGCAGUGAAAUGCGUAGAGAUCAUGAGGAAGACCAGUGGCGAAGGCGGGUCUCUGGACAGUUCCUGACACUGAGACACGAAGGCCAGGGGAGCAAACGGG
rnacentral:rRNA from 1 species